GUUUUUUUUUCAGAAUAUGUGAAACUACGUAGUUUUAUCUUAGGUUUCCUUAUCUCAAAACUAAUCUCUUUGCCGUCUCUCUGUCUUUCCUCUCUGUGUCGAUGAAUUUCAAAACAUGAAUCCAAAUUGAGAAACCUUUUUCGUUUUCUUAAAUCUGUGGUGGGUCUCUUCGUUUUCUUCAUCAAGAGAAACCUCUUUCUCUCUUUUAGUCUCUGGCGCCUUCUCUCUCUUUCUCAGUCUCUCUCAGGCGUUCUCUCUCCGGCGACAACCUCUCUCUCCGGCGACUUCUCUCUCUCCGGCGACCUCUCUCUCCGGCGACCUCUCUCUCUCUCGCUCAGGAGGUUCAAACAUGCCAUGAAAAUGAGCAUAAGUGUCACAGUGAAGAGAGCAGGAGUCACUUGUAGAAGAACUGAUGAAGAAGGUGUCACUUUUUGAUGCAAAACUAUUUUGUUGUUUUUGAUGUUUUUAUUUCAAACACAAGCUUGAUGCAAAACUGUUUAUUAUGCUGUCAUGUUUUUUAACUAUGAUUAUUGUUGAAAUACGUGGUUGAAUGGCAUAUCUAUAUUGCUCCA